UCAGGCCUGAUUCCUAGGUCUCCUUAUUCAGGGAUCAGCACUGAACAUAGACCACACCAUGGAUUUCCGUCUGAUUUUGGUUUUUCUUGCUGCUCUUUUAAAAGGUGUCCAGUGUGAGGUGCAGCUUGUAGAGUCUGGGGGAGACGUGGUGCAGCCUGGGGGCUCCCUGAAACUUUCCUGUGUAGGCUCUGGAUUCACUUUUACUAGCUACUGGAUGCAUUGGGUCCGCCAGGCUCCAGGGAAGGGCUUGGAGUGGGUUGGAGCAAUUAAUCCAAAUGAUGGUACAACACACUAUGCACCGUCCCUGAAGGACCGAUUCGCCAUCUCCAGAGACAACGCCAAGAGCACUGUUUACCUGCAGAUGAGCAAAGUGAGAGCUGAGGACACGGCCACUUAUUACUGUGCAAGAGACACAAUGAGGGGACCUCGGUGUGGACCCAGACAUGAACCUCACUGUGAGGCCGCUCACGACCGCCAGGGGGCGCACAGCACACAGAGAACACAGGUUCCCCUCAGGAGAUGA